rnacentral:rRNA from 1 species
UACGGAGGGUGCGAGCGUUAAUCGGAAUUACUGGGCGUAAAGGGUGCGUAGGUUGUUGAAUAAGUUAUCUGUGAAAUCCCUGGGCUUAACCUGGGCAGGUCAGAUAAGACUGUUUGACUCGAGUAUGGGAGAGGGUAGUGGAAUUUCCGGUGUAGCGGUGAAAUGCGUAGAGAUCGGAAGGAACACCAGUGGCGAAGGCGGCUACCUGGCCCAAUACUGACACUGAGGCACGAAAGCGUGGGGAGCAAACAGG